rnacentral:rRNA from 1 species
UACGGAGGGUGCAAGCGUUAUCCGGAAUCACUGGGUUUAAAGGGUGCGUAGGCGGCCUGGUAAGUCAGGGGUGAAAGCUUCCCGCUCAACGGGAGAACUGCCCUUGAUACUGCCAGGCUCGAAUUGGGUUGAGGCCGGCGGAAUGUGGCAUGUAGCGGUGAAAUGCUUAGAUAUGCCAUAGAACACCGAUUGCGAAGGCAGCCGGCGAAGCCUUGAUUGACGCUGAGGCACGAAAGCGUGGGGAGCGAACAGG